CGUGGUGCAGUGGUUAGCAUGUCCGUUUAUGACACCGAACGUCUGGGUUUAAAUCCCUGCG
rnacentral:tRNA from 1 species